rnacentral:rRNA from 1 species
AGGCCCCCACCGUGAGUGCAGCCUGUUACUUAAUUUCACUCAGCACGAACUAACUCACCCGGGCCGGAGACCGGAUGGAUUGACUGACUGAUCUUUCUUUCUUAAUUGGGUGGGGGGGGGUGCAUGGCCGUUCUUGGUGGGGGGAUUUAUUUGUCUGGUUAAUUCCAAUAACGAAACACAGUCUGGUCUAUUAAACGGUGUAUCCUGCUCGAGUACCGAUUCUUACUUCGGACAGGGACAAGCGGGGCCCAUGCGAAUGAAAUAUAACAAUACUGUGAUUGCCAUGCCCUUACAUGGCUGGGGCUGCGCGCCCGUUACACAGAAAGAAUGAGAGUGCGCCGAGAACCAAGACCCGAAGGACCGAGGAACACUCUUUCAUGCUUGCGAGCGUGAAAUGCGAAAUUGUAAUUAUUUCCCUUAAACCACGAAUUCCGCGUAAAUGCGGCUCAUAAGCUCUCGUUGAUUGCCUCCCUGCCCUUUGUACACACCGUCCGUCGCUACUACCGAUUGAAUGACUCA